GGAGGUAUACCCAAGUCUGGCUGAAGGGAUCGGUCUUGAAAACCGACAGGGGGUCAAACCCCGCGGGGGUUCGAAUCCCUCUACCUCCUCCA
rnacentral:tRNA from 1 species